rnacentral:rRNA from 1 species
UUAUCCCAAGGCGCGUGAGAGAACGCUGGCUAAGGAACUCGGCAAAAUAGCACCGUAACUUCGGGAGAAGGUGUGCCCGCCGACGUGAUGGAACUUGCUUCCUGAGCGUUGGCGGGUCGCAGUGAAAUGGGGGUUGCGACUGUUUACUAAAAACACAGGACUGUGCGAACUCGUAAGAGGACGUAUACGGUCUGACGCCUGCCCGGUGCUGGAAGGUUAAGGGGAGAGGUUAGCGCAAGCGAAGCUUCGAACCGAAGCCCCAGUAAACGGCGGCCGUAACAAUAACGGUCCUAAGGUAGCGAAAUUCCUUGUCGGGUAAGUUCCGACCUGCACGAAGGGCGUAACGACAUCCCUACUGUCUCGGCCAGCGACUCAGCGAAAUUGUAUCGGGGGUGAAGAUACCCUCUACCCGCGGUAAGACGGAAAGACCCCAUGAACCUUUACUGCAACUUGGCAGUGAGGUUCGGAACAGUCUGCGUAGGAUAGGUAGGAGGCUUUGAAGUCGGGAUUCCGGUCUCGAUGGAGCCGUCGUUGAAAUACUACCCUGGCUUUUCUGGACUUCUAACCUAGGCCCCUCAACGGGGUCGGGGACACUGCCUGGUGGGCAGUUUGACUGGGGCGGUCGCCUCCCAAACAGUAACCGAGGCGCGCGAAGGUACCCUCAGGCUGAUUGGAAACCAGCCGGCGAGUGCAAUGGCACAAGGGUGCUUAACUGUGAGAGGGACACCUCGAGCAGGUGCGAAAGCAGGCCAUAGUGAUCCGGUGGUCCCGCAUGGAAGGGCCAUCGCUCAUCGGACAAAAGGUACUCUGGGGAUAACAGGCUGAUCGCGCCUGAGAGUCCAUAUCGGCGGCGCGGUUUGGCACCUCGAUGUCGGCUCAUCGCAUCCUGGGGCUGGAGCAGGUCCCAAGGGUUUGGCUGUUCGCCAAUUAAAGCGGUACGCGAGCUGGGUUUAGAACGUCGUGAGACAGUUCGGUCCCUAUCUGCCGUGGGCGCAGGAUACUUGAGAGGGGCUGUUCAUAGUACGAGAGGACCUGAACGGACGCACCUCUAGUGUUCCGGUUGUCAUGCCAAUGGCAUAGCCGGGUAGCUAUGUGCGGAACGGAUAACCGCUGAAAGCAUCUAAGCGGGAAGCCGGCCUCAAGACAAGGUAUCCCGGGGCAUAAGCCCCCUGAAGGCCCCUUGAAGACUACAAGGUGAUAGGCGGGAGGUAGAAGCGCAGCGAUGCGCGGAGCUGACCCGUACUAAUAGGCCGUGCGGCUUGACCAA